UAUUAAAAACAAGUAACGCUUAAUCUAGCCAUCCAGCUGGUAUGUCGAUGUAUCCAUGAACCCUGAACACUAACUACCUUGAUAUUCUCCUUUAUGGACGAUUUAUUUAUAUUUGUAAGCUACAGUAAUUUGCUUUGCCUGCUGCCGCAAAACAGAUUUCAUGUCAACUAAACAAUUAUCAUUGUUCUGAUCAUCCCAACGAUAUUUUUUUAAUAUUUGGAACUUGCUUGACACAAUCACACUUUGAUUCUGAUAACUACUCGAGACAGAGUAUGGACAGGGAAACGCAACGCAGUGAUUUACACUUGUGGAGAAAUUACUUUUGGCCCCUGGGGUAUCGAACAGCAAUGUAAAGAACUAGAGUAAACCUACUGGGUACGUGUUCGAAGGAAUAGCAUGCUUUCGGAGGUUGUUAUAAAACAUUGGCUUGAAUCAUGGUCCCGCCGACAGAUGUGGGCGUUUUCUGCCUUCACACUGCCACUGCAGAUACGGGUUUAGUUUCAUGGGAUCGGGGUUCCCAAAAUAGGAGUUCCAGGCCUGGAAGCGGCUAGGUGAAUUUAAUGAAAUUACCACUUUCCUUCUACGACGGCUUCAAAACAAAGCGGAGACUACCGAAGAACAGGCAGAUCUUCUCGUUACAGCAGUGCAUUGAGUUGUUACAAGGGGGAACAAUAACCGACUACAGAAUAAAGUGUUGCAGAGAAAGUCAACGCAGACAGUAGGGUGAAAGAUGCCAAAUAAAUUGGAGAUCAAACUGAAAAUAAUAUCACUUGGUAGCACACACCCAGUAAUCACAAAACAAAACAAAGAUGAACACCAGAUGGAAGACCUCCAGUAGCACUGAAGGAAUUGAAAGAAGACUAGGAGGAGUUGUGAAUGAAGUGCUUCACAGCUCAUUACAUGUGGGACCAGCAACCAGCGACUGGAAAAACAACUAAUCCUGUUCCAGAAGGUCAAAAGCAUGAUCUUAGAAAUUCCAGGACUGUUAGCUUAACCUCUGCAGCAGGAAAAACAUUGGAGUCCAUUUUAAAGAAAACAAUUUGUACUUACCAGCAGUAAAAACAACAAAUGCAAACUAUUACAGCUUUAUCAAAAACAAUUCAUACUUAUAAUCUUCAUAUUCAAGUCAUCUCUAUUUCAUUGUAGAGGAUAUAAUAGUGUUAUAAAUGUACCACAGCUCUGAGGGGCCGAAGGGUGUGGGGUAGCCCCCUCCUUUGUGAGAAUCACAGGAUCGCUAUUGAUUUGGGUCAGGAGACCCAGGAAAUGAGAGAGAGACAUGCGGAAUGUCUUGAACCCCCCCCCCCGCCCCCCGGCGAAUAAAAGCUACGGGAAAUGGCCAUUGUCUCUUGGAGACGGACGUGUAUUACAAUACUGUGCUACGUAGAAGCCCUCAGGCAAAGUGGGCUGGUUGAGGGAGGGAUUGCAUCACCCCAACCUGAUUGACAUCUGAGACCCUGUGAGUCAGGAUAAAAGAGGGGUCUGUGGGAACAGCCCCUCAGACGCACCAGAAGAAACGCUAGUGAUCCCGUAAUAGUGGAAGCCAAUGGGAGGAGGCCACAUGCGUUCGGUUCCAUUUGCCCCAGAACCGGUGGCUUUUACCACAGAAGAACGGUUUUUAGCUAACAACGGGGAAACCAACUCCCAACGACUCUCGAAGGGUUGACAUCAUAAAAGGACUGGGCAAGUUUUAACCCAUCUUUCUCUCAAACCAAAAUGCUGCAGCUUGAAUGAACUAACAGUGACUUCUAUAUUUCCAUUGGACAAUACAUUAUCCCCUAGACAACGAUAGAGCUAUUUCUUAUUGAUUAUUAUUAUACCCGCACCUUUAGAUUUAGUAUUGACGAUGUAUAUUAUCUGUAUGUUUGCAUUGAUAUUAUUUUGUGUAUUUUUAUCAAUAAAUACUGUUAAAAUAGUACCAUCAGACUUCAACCGACCUCUCUAUCUUUGCUGGUAAGUGACCCAGUUACGGGGUUCGUAACAAUAGAAACACAUACCAGAUUGAAAGAAUGGUACCUGAUUUUGUAGAAUGACUUCCUACAAUGUCAAAGUUUAAAGUAAAUUUAUUAUCAAAGUAUCCAUAUGUCUUCUUUGAGGAUCGACACCUUGGCUUGUGAGUUUGUGAGAUCCCAAGAGCGAUGCGCUCUGGAGCUUAGGUUCUAGUGGGGUCACCUAUGGCAUAGGUCAAAGAGGAGGAUCCAUACAAAGAGCAAUCCAACCAAGAUCUCCAGUGGAGCUGGUGGAAGAUGAUGAUAUAUCACAUCAGCAGUGAAGGCAGAGGAAUGCUGCAGCAGUUAAGUGUCCCCAGUUGACCUGCAUUCCAUGCCAUUGUGUGGUAGAUGCCCAUGCAUCAGCAUCCCCAUGUUAAACAAAGUCUUGUACAGGUGUUCUCCAUUAAGGAAAAAACCCCUUGGGAGAACUUCAUACUCGACUCAAGUGAUCCUACUACUACCACCCUGAGAUUCAAUUUUCCCGCUGGUAUUUACAAGAAAAUAGAGAAACACAACAAAAGUUAUGAAAAGCUUUAAAGGACAAAGGAGAAAUGAAACCCUUAAGGAUGAAAUAGUUGCUAUAAAAUAAUUUAUCUGAACCAAAGGGAACUUCUUACCAAUUAGUUUCCACCAAUGAGUCUCACUUCAUUGCUGCCAAUCACCUAAUGUCAAUCAUUUGGUAAAAACGAAUCAAUCGCUCCCAAUCAAUUACCAAAAAAAAAUUCAACAUAAAAAGCUUUAUUUUGUAUGGAUGCUUUAGAGAGGUUAUGGGGAGAUUUACCAGGAUGUUGCCUGGAUUAGAGAGCAUGUCUUCUGAGUGUAACACGCUGUAAGGUUUCACUGCUAAUGUCAUGGCCUCUCUUUAAUAUUUCACUGCUAAUAUAAUGGUUUCUCUGUAGCAGCAUUGUUUGGGUUGUGAUUAGAGAUAAUGGGGGCUUUGGAAUGUGUGCCAUCCAAUGAGAGGCACGUUGUUUCUUUCUUGUGGGUCUGAGAGAAGGGAUUUGUGGUCUUUUGUCGGCAAGAGAUGAAGAGAGAAGACGCAAAUGGAGAGAGUUGGUAGACUGUCGGCAGAAUGGACUUGCAGCAAGGGUAUGAGGGUUGGCAAUGCUCAGAGGAGGUCAAUGGGGAAGGAAUGGACAGAAACACAAGCUCCAAAGUUGCAGAUUAGACAGUUUCAUGAGGAUAGGGUGAGUGAGCUAGGAAUUUUCUCUUUGCAGGAAGAUGAGAGGUGACUUGACAGAGAUAUAUAAAAUUAUAAGAUUGAAUGGAUACCUGGAGGCCCUUCCCCAGGAUUGAAAUGGGUAAUACAAAGAGGAAUAAUUUUAAGUUGAUUGGAGUAAUGUAUAGGGGAGAUGUUAGAGAUAAGUUUUUUACACAUUCAUGUGGGUGCAUUGAGAUCCCUGCCAGGUGUGCUGAUAGAGGUAGAUAUAUUAGGGAUAUUUAAGAAAUUCUUAGAUAGGCACAUAGAAAGAUAGAAAAUGGAGGGAUACUGUGUUUGGGAGAGAUGGGAUAAAUAGAUCUCAGAGCAGGUUAAAGGGUCGGCACAAUAUUAUAGGCCAAGGGGCCGUAUUGGGUCCCGUUCUAUGUUCUAAAAACAUAAAGUGCUGGAUCAAGCUCAGUAGGUCAGGAGGCAUCUGAGAGAGAAAAUAAUGUUUUCAGUCAC